AACGAACGCUGGCGGCAUGCCUAACACAUGCAAGUCGAACGAGACCUUCGGGUCUAGUGGCGCACGGGUGCGUAACGCGUGGGAACCUGCCCUUAGGUUCGGAAUAACUCCCCGAAAGGGGUGCUAAUACCGGAUAAUGUCUUCGGACCAAAGAUUUAUCGCCUUUGGAUGGGCCCGCGUUGGAUUAGCUAGUUGGUAGGGUAAAAGCCUACCAAGGCGACGAUCCAUAGCUGGUCUGAGAGGAUGAUCAGCCACACUGGGACUGAGACACGGCCCAGACUCCUACGGGAGGCAGCAGUGGGGAAUAUUGGACAAGGGGCGAAAGCCUGAUCCAGCAAUGCCGCGUGAGUGAUGAAGGCCUUAGGGUUGUAAAGCUCGUUUACCCGGGAUGAUAAUGACAGUACCGGGAGAAUAAGCUCCGGCUAACUCCGUG
rnacentral:rRNA from 1 species